rnacentral:rRNA from 1 species
UACGUAGGGUGCAAGCGUUGUCCGGAAUUAUUGGGCGUAAAGAGCUCGUAGGCGGUUUGUCGCGUCUGCUGUGAAAACUCGGGGCUUAACUCCGGGCCUGCAGUGGGUACGGGCAGACUAGAGUGCGGUAGGGGAGACUGGAAUUCCUGGUGUAGCGGUGAAAUGCGCAGAUAUCAGGAGGAACACCGGUGGCGAAGGCGGGUCUCUGGGCCGUAACUGACGCUGAGGAGUGAAAGCGUGGGGAGCGAACAGG